GUGCAGCAGUCGAGAAAACUUCACAAUGUGCGAAAGCACGAUGAGGGAAUCCCAAGUGCUUGCACGUAAGUGUAAGCUGUUUCUCUGUCUAAAACGCAGAGAGAGUAAGGGCUGGGUAAGACGGGUGCCAGCCGCCGCGGUAAUACCUGCAGCUCGAGUGGUGACCGUUAUUAUUGGGCCUAAAACGUCCGUAGCCGGUUUAAUAAAUGCCUGGGUAAAUCGGACCGCUUAACGGUUCGAAUUCCGGGUAGACUGUUAAACUUGAGACCGGGAGAAGUUAGAGGUACUCCUGGGGUAGAGGUGAAAUUCUGGUAAUCCUAGGGGGACCACCAGUGGCGAAGGCGUCUAACUAGAACGGGUCUGACGGUGAGGGACGAAGCCCUGGGGCGCAAACGGGAUUAGAUA
rnacentral:rRNA from 1 species